CCUUUUUUCACUUGUUUCUAUUCACCGAGGCACCAGAAGAAAUGUGUGUGGGAUUCAUGUGAAGAGCUCAUUUCCAAAAGGAAUCCUGUCCUUCAGCACCUGAAGUUCAUCAUCAAACACUUAACUGGGCGUGGCCUCCUGAACUUCCUGUUCCCGCCAGUGUCUUUCCACACCUGAUAUUCAUCUUGCCAUCAACUCCACAUGCUGCUGCAGUGUAAAGAGACCAGUCAGCUCACCGUUCUUGGCUAGAUCGUUCAGGCACCUGCAGCGGUGCUGUAUCCUGCUUCUACCUGGUUUACCACAUCCACCUCUGUUUUUGACUGCCUGUUCAGUCCUGAUCUGGACGGAUGGACGGAUUCCUAUCUGUUGGAAUCCAGUCACCUGUGGCUCUCUCCCACCCACCCCCCACCCGUCAUCCUGCCCAAACACCCGAGCCUUCUUUCCCCCAUCCUCAUCCCCAGCUCACCUUCCCUCUUUUGGGUUGGCAGUAAAGAACUUAUUUCACCUUCAACCCCUGGCUUGUGUUCUUCUUUGCGGGUCCUGAAUCAAAGAACCCUUGCGACUCUCUUUUGCAAUUGAAACUCCAGUUCACUUCCUGCUGCUGUUUAUGUGGCAGUGAAGGCAGUUUUUAUGAAGGUAUCCGUCUUUUUGAUGUCAGCGCCAUUUGACAAUUCAUUGUCAGCUGAAUUGGAAGUUGGAAGAGUGACUGUUAGCCACGGCACUUUUACAGACAUAAUAUCAGAGGAUAUUUUUCCUCUGGCCUGCACUCCCCUUGACUUUGUUUAUUUGUUAUUUGCUUGUUUGCCAUUAUAGUAAAUAAUCAGCUUCAUAGUAUCUGAGAGCAAUUGAACUGAUGCAUCUAUUUCCUGCGUGUUUAAAUUUUAACUACGGGUGUGAAAUGUACAGAUGUGAGUAAACAAAAUUAUUUGCAGAGACGGCUGAGAAGUGCGCUCAACAAUAAUGGCUGGUGCUGGAGGAAAUAAGUAAGCACAUACACACACACACACGCACAUACACACACACACACACACACACACAUAUACAUAUACACAUACACACACUGUAGGGUCAAAUGGGAACCCGGAAAACACCACACAGUCAUUUGCAGGCAGCUGGCCAUACACCUACACACACACACACAUAUCCAAUUACGAUUCAUUGAGUGACCAGAUUUCUGAGGUGACCAGGCAGUGAGUGUGUGUCUGCUUCAGUCAUCAUUAAUGUUAAUUCACAGGCAAGAGUCCUCUCUCCCACACCUGAAGAGCACUGGAGCACAAUAUCAAAAUCUUUAAAGCAAAUACAUAAAAUAUGACCUGUUCGGUAAGAGAAUCAAUAUUGCAUGUUUGUCUGGAGGAAAGCUGCUGAUGCAUUUGCUGUGCUGACUUUUCCAAUUUCUACAUCUGAGAUUACCAUCGCUUUUGAGUAUGCUGCUCAUUUUGAAAAACAGAAUUUCAUUCAGUUACUGCUGUAGCUGUAUGCCCCGAGGCUCUGUGAGAGAGGGAAAGUGUAUUAAUGAAAUGAGAGACAGACAGUGUUAUUUAAAUCACCUCAACAGCAUAACCUGAGGCCUAACACUGGCUCUCUGCUGCUUUCCAGACCUGUUUUCAUCCCUCAGCCAACCAAACCAAACUUAAUCAUAACUCAGCCAAAGACAACAAACCUGAAACACACAGUGCCAAACUUAGCAACACUGAGUCAGAAGGUACUGAGUCUUCGGAUCAAGUCAAAUCAAAUCAAAAUGUCUCAAACUAAAUCAACCAUGCAUUGCAGAUAACUGUGCUACACAGUGCCAUACACCAAACCCCAUAAACCAAAACGCAGAUAACUCAAACCAAAACUUGUUGGCCCAUGUUAAUGAGUGGUUAGAUCUUUUGGGAAAAGACGGUCACGUUCUACCUUCUCCCUGAAAGUUCGAUGAGAGUGUUGACACUGCUCUCACUUUGUAUGCUAACUAUGUAGCUAUGGAGCCAGCAGCUAUUUAGCUUAGCGCAGAGGUUACAUUGUGGGCACCCGGCGAGAAAAUUUGGGGGAAAGUAUAAUGUUGUCAUGGCGACAGUGAGUCGGCUUAGGGCUGCAAGUUGAGCCACAUUUGUUUACAAUUUGAAAAACUGGCAUCAUGGGAGGUUACGUGGGGUUAUGUGCCAAUCUAUUUUGUGGCUGCUGCGGUAAUUUUCUGUAGUUUCCGCUGGUUGCCUGGCAACCUCAUUGUGACGACAAGAGCCCAAGAAGUUACAGCAAAGGAAAACAAAAUGGUUUCCACAUAACCCCGUGUAAAACCACAAUGUGUCGUUUUACUCAUCGGUUUCUGUACAGGAUUUCCCAAAAUGUUGAACUAUUAUUUUAAAUCCUGUGGCUUUCAGCAAAGCGUUUUGACACAGAAACCACAACAUACCACUCUGUAUCACACUUGGCCAGUUCCUAUAAAGUUUGUAAAACACAAGCCUCCAAAAGCUUUAAUGGUUUCCUAAAAACUGAAACUGCUGUCAACACUGUCACAAAAAAGAAACUCCAGUUUCAGGAACUUACAGAGCUGUAGGAGUGGAAAACCACUCGCAGCUUUAAAACAUUUCAUUAUUGCUAAAGGUCAAAACUUGUCUACCUUGUUAUCUAUUGUUCAAAUUAUUACACUCAACUGAAUGCAUUUUACCUAAUAAAUACAUGCAAUCACUCACUACAUGCAUGACUUGUGUCCUCGUGUUUUAAUCACAUUGGCAGUAACAACUGCUAUUAGCUUCAAAUUAAAAUAUCAGCUCUGUUAGUGUUAAUCCUGUUUGCCCAGGCUACAGCUGAAUGAAUUUUCAGUGCAUUCAGAAAGUGUUAAGACCACUUCAAUUUUUUCACGUUGUUAUGUUGCAGCCUC